UCUCUCCUACUAGACAUGUCGCCAACAUGAACAUGAUGGAAAUUCUGGUGAAACGUGUCUUCACUGCUGUAACGAUGACUUCUGUAAUUCUCACGGAUGCGGUGAUAAUGGAUUUCCACCGAAGCAGUCGCGUGGUCCACUGUGUCUUGACUGUACACACGUCAGUGAUCCAAACGAGUGUGACCAAAUGACAAUAUGUUCAUCCGAUGAGAUGUGCCGUAUUGAAGAGCUGCCAUGGGGAGACAAUUCGAUAUAUCAUCUUGGUUGUGCGUCAGUCCAUGACUGCGCUGUUGAAUCGAACUCACUGAGAAAACGGUCAGUGAACUCCUUAAUGUCUAGAUCCGUGCCAGUCUGCACAGAAUGUUGCCAUGAUGAUUUCUGCAACCAGAACUGCACAAGAAAGGGCCAUAACCAGCAACAGAUUAUUGUAGGCUAGACUGACCAUGCUUCGAUUACAGUAUCUUUGGAAAGGAAUGGGAAACUUUGAUUCAUAAAAUUGAUUGAAGUGAUUUCUUUAAUCUGUGUACAAUUUUCUAAUGUAUGAAAAUGAUAUUAAUGAAAUAAAAUUUGUGCGGGG
rnacentral:lncRNA from 1 species